rnacentral:rRNA from 1 species
AUUGAACGCUGGCGGCAGGCCUAACACAUGCAAGUCGAACGAUUGGCGGACGGGUGAGUAAUGUCUGGGAAACUGCCCGAUGGAGGGGGAUAACUACUGGAAACGGUAGCUAAUACCGCAUACCCUCGGAUAUUACCCGAUGUGAUUAGCUAGUAGGUGGGGUAACGGCCAACCUAGGCGACGAUCCCUAGCUGGUCUGAGAGGAUGACCAGCCACACUGGAACUGAGACCCGUGCCAGACUCCUACUGUAGGCAGCAGUGGGGAAUAUUGCACAAGGGGCUCAAGCCUGAUGCAGCCAUGCCGCGUGUAUGAAGAAGGCCUUCGGGUUGUAAAGUACUUUCAGCGAGGAGGCGUUACUCGCAGAAGAAGCACCGGCUAACUCCGUGCCAGCAGCCGCGGUAAUUC